GACAGAGGGUGCAAACGUUGUUCGGAAUUACUGGGCGUAAAGCGCGUGUAGGCUGCUCUGCAAGUCGGAUGUGAAAGCCCUGGGCUCAACCCAGGAAGUGCACUCGAAACUGCAGAGCUUGAGUCCUGGAGAGGAAGGCGGAAUUCUCGGUGUAGAGGUGAAAUUCGUAGAUAUCGAGAGGAACACCGGUGGCGAAGGCGGCGACCUGGGCCAAUAUUGACGCUGAGGUGCGAAAGCGUGGGGAGCAAACAGG
rnacentral:rRNA from 1 species